GGCAGUUGUCAGGACCCUGACAAGUUGUUCCUGUUAACUGAAGAACGAGACACUAGCUCUGAAGAAAUGGAAUUCAGUCUCUGGGAAUCGGACGGCUCGGAUCAAUUGGGCUAAAUGACCGUUGCCGCCACCAGCUGGACAGUAAUAGUGACGGCAACGACUCCUUCCGUCCCACGCCUUCGUCACCUGCCUCCAGCGAUAAAAGGCCCAGCCAGCGUUCUGGAAAAGCAUCUUUCCCCUUUCUCCAAGUGUAAUAGCUAGCUACCUUAAGAACCCUAGAGUACUUGGUAGAAAUUGGGCAGAUCCUCGAUCUGAACCCCUGUAUCUGUAACUCUAAAUUUCGAGAUAAUAUCAAGCGGGGCUAGUUCGAGUAAUUGUUGAGUUGUUGCUGUGUUGAGGUCCUGUCAUGGACGAACCUUCAAAGGGAGUUCUUGUAGGAGGGGCGACAGUUGGUAAAAGAUCGAGAGAAGAUAAUUGUCGACCAUGGAAACACCAUGUUCAGGUUCGGACAUUGCCUCCACAGCAGCAGAUCCGGGUUCAUGGCAUCGGCAAUGGCUCCAGAUCUGUGGCGGCCACUACACCACGACACUGCAAAGACGACAUGCGUCUGUUGGUAGAAGUGAGCAUCGCCGACAUUUUUUGUGUGACAAACUAUGCCGACACACAAUUCGUUGUUGUUAUAUAGCAUCAUGACACAUUAUUUGUCGCCAAAUCAUCACCGGAUCACCGACACAAUUGCUGUCGGCAUAUACUAACUUUACUGAUAGUUUGUCUGUCGCUGAUUCAUGGGGACAAAAAAAGUGUCGGUGUUGUUUCCUUCGGCCCGCACCCAAAAAGAAUGGCGCGGAAAGAGAGCCAGCGAGCCAUGUGAAACACCCGAGCCGGACUAAGGAGGAAAAAAAGGGAAAGAAAAAAAAUGACAUACCCAAAUACCCCACCCUUUUCUCUCGCUACCCUGAAAUAGAGUGCGCCGCUCGCCCCGACCUAAACCUAAUCCAGUGCGCCUCCUCCCCAACCUGCACGCCGCCGCCCGUCCCUUGACCCCCGCCCCCUCGCGCCACACGCCUCCCAUCAUCCGCUCAGGAGCAGCAGCGCCUUCCGCCGCGUAGAGGAGCAGCCGCGCCGUCCGCCGCGUAGAGGAGCAGCCGCGCCAUCCGCCGUGCCGAGUAGUAGCACCUACCACUGGGAAGGAGAAGCAACAAGGUCAACAAGGCCCACCGUCCGUCGAUGAUGAGAAGCAGCGCCGUCGCUUCUGAGGAGCCGCCGGCCGUUCUUCUUCCUCCACCGACGACACGUGUACCUCCAGAUCUCAACAAGUAAGCCGCAAAUCUUCCCGCUGCCUGCCCUUGUUCUCUCUCCAUUAUUGGCAACGAGGUCAAAUUACGGUUUUGAAAUUAGAUAAUACAGGAGAUUAAUCGAAGGGGAAAAGGAACAUAUGACCACCAGCUAGCAUAAGGAUUUCAUUUUCGGUGGUUUGAGGCAAGAUCCGCUCUUCCCUGCCAUGGAUUUUGAUGGAUAGCAGGUUCUGUUUGAAAGGAGAAGAGAUAAUGCAGGGAAGAAGAAGUCACUCAGUUUACUAGCCACUACUGACAUUGAUAUUAUGACCUUCCCAGGUUUAAGGGGCAUGGCAUGUUGGCACCAUUCGCUGUUGUAUGGCAGAGCAAUGAUGUGCAUCCAUUGGUUAUUGAGAGAUUUGAGGUUGCAACUCUCGAAUUAUAGCAUUAUAUAUGUUUACUUCUCAUGCAAUGCAGCGUUUGAUAUUGGAAAUGGCAGCUAAGACGUUCAUUACAGUAUGCUACGGUUGUAAACAAUGUAUCUAUGUUUUGCUUAUACAAUGUUAACCUAUAUAUGCAGGGUUCUUAUGUUUAUGACAUCAAUGGGAAUAAAUAUCCAGAUUCUCUAGUAGGACUGUGGUAUACAACUUUAGGUAUGUAAAGUACAAUCUUUGGAGUGUGAUUUUUGUGAUUAUGUACCAAAGAAUUGUUCAUUCUUUGGGAUAAUACCGCGCAUCACCAUUUUGUUUUUGCAUUUAAAAUUAAUGUAUAAAGUCUAAUUUGUAUUCUUUGAGCUUUUAGUUUCUUUUCAUCUAUAUCAUUUUCUACAUCCGAGGUGGUACUAUUUUACCUGCGUAUCUUUACCUAAUAAUUAAGGACAGAAUAAUUUGGGCUGAGCCUUCCUUUCCUAAUAAAAAACAGAAACAUGAUGUGUGGCUGCACUAGGCCUGGUCUCCUUUCCUAUUUUUUCAUCGAUCUCCUUCUUCCAUGAUGAUUCUUUUCGGUAAACCCUAAACCCUGCCGAUCAACCCGGUCUCCCACCUGAAAUCGAGUGCUUCACGACUCGGUCUCUCGCCCGUAGUCGAACUCCCUUUCCGUCGAGACGUUUCGUCUAGCUCCUCCCAUAAAUAGGUUGCCCGAGAGAACAUAACAGACGGAGCUGCCGGAUGAGCAAUGUAAACCAAGAAUGAUCUCACAGGCAAUUCAUCCGGGUGUGUGCCCUUGCCGAGGCCACAGCCGAGGCCAAGCCAACAGGCCCACAUCGUCGGGAGGUUUCUCGCAUUUGGAUUGGCUGCACCGGCAAGGUCAUCUAUAGUACGAUAGUUGACAACAAUGAGGAGAUCUUCAGGAUCUCCGAUACGGCGUUCACGUGGCCGUUAGCGGCGGAAGAUCCCUUGCUCAGCUAGAAAGGCACGCCAUCGUCAUGGUCGUUGAUAGCGUAUAGCGCAUGGGCUCAUCGACGUGAUGGCGGUGCCCGUUCCAGGGUGCUCUUGACGUCUUAGGAUGCCGAGCACGGCGGAGUGGACAGCCGGCCAUGGGUGCUGGCGGAAGGAGGAAUUGUCACCAUGUGUCAAUGGCUGCGGGGGAGGGUUCCUCAUAUACGGUCGCCCCCGCUCCGUCUCCAGAUAGCCGCAGCAGGAAUAGCACACUCCCUUGGACGAGGACGACAAGAAGCGGCAGAAGCGGCUGGCUGGAUGGAAGCCGUGCAGGCGGGCGGGCGGACGGCUCGGCUGAGGUGGCCGCAGCGGCCAGGGAUUAGGGAGGCGGCAACUCACUGCCUUAAAGUAAGAAGGAGGCCGACUUGGUACACGCACGUGUCCUCCGAGAAAAGAUAAGCAUCCAGAUCUCGUGCAGUUUAUUCCAUUGCUAAUGCUUGUCGGUCUAAUUUGUGGUUUUCCUGCUUAAUGGCGCUCAACUUGGUUGACGUUCCGGCCUUAGCUUCCCAUCCAUGCGGUCCAGUGGUGCCCGUUCCUCUGCUGUUUUGUUGCGAGGGCGUAGCUAGCUUCGAACGACGAGGCGUACAAGUGGGCCCUACAGGAUGACGACGAGCGCGAGGUCGCCGGGCGGCUCCUGACCCUCACUGAGAUCAUUGGUUGGGAAGAGAUGAGCAUGAUGUUGAAGAUGACGAAGGCGAGGAAGAUGGGGAUAGCGUGCAGUUGACAGUUCCAUCACAAUCAUUGUUUGUUGAUUUAUGUGUAUGCUUGGGCAAUUAUGCAGCUUUUACAUGAAGAUUAUAACCCUUUUAUUUUAUUCAGGUAUUGUCUUUUAUUCUAGAAUGCUUACACAGAAAAGAUUGCAGAGCUGUGAUUAAUUUGACUAAUCAGGAACAACGGCUCGAUAGUCUGGAUGGUGCCUUUUGAUUGUAUCCAGCAGUGACCACUUUUGCUUGUGGACUUUGGAAUGAAUCUGAUCUUUAACAACAGUGAGCAACUUGCAGUGUGGGGUUUCGGCAUUCUCUUGGCCACCUGAAUGGCUUGCAGAAGCUGUGCGGGCGAAGCUGACAGUUUGAGAUGGUCAUGUAUGAAAAUGAAUUUCAGAGAUUCAACUUUGUGCCGGCAACUGUCAGCUUUCUCCUGCCAGUUGGUGUGGCAGGCGGAUCAGAUUAGAAGACUAGACGUGUGCAGCAGCUGGUCCUGUGAUGUAAAAUAAUAAUUCAAAUCGCCUAUGAGAUGUAUCCUAACAAUCCUGAAGAUCUCGGUGCCAACUCUAUAAUUCAAAUAAUAAUUCAGGGCCCCGUUUGAUAACAAAGUA